rnacentral:rRNA from 1 species
CCUACGGGAGGCAGCAGUGAGGAAUAUUGGUCAAUGGGCGCGAGCCUGAACCAGCCAAGUCGCGUGAGGGAAGACGGUCCUAUGGAUUGUAAACCUCUUUUGUCGGGGAGCAAAAGACGCCACGCGUGGCGUUCCGAGAGUACCCGAAGAAAAAGCAUCGGCUAACUCCGUGCCAGCAGCCGCGGUAAUACGGAGGAUGCGAGCGUUAUCCGGAUUUAUUGGGUUUAAAGGGUGCGCAGGCGGCAGAUCAAGUCAGCGGUAAAAUUGAGAGGCUCAACCUCUUCGAGCCGUUGAAACUGGUUGUCUUGAGUGAGCUAGAAGUAUGCGGAAGGCGUGGUGUAGCGGUGAAAUGCAUAGAUAUCACGCAGAACUCCGAUUGCGAAGGCAGCAUACCGGCGCUCAACUGACGCUCAUGCACGAAAGUGUGGGUAUCGAACAGGAUUAGAUACCCCAGUAGUC